GACGAACGCUGGCGGCGUGCUUAACACAUGCAAGUCGAACGGAAAGGCCCUGCUUUUGUGGGGUGCUCGAGUGGCGAACGGGUGAGUAACACGUGAGUAACCUGCCCUUGACUUUGGGAUAACUUCAGGAAACUGGGGCUACUACCGGACAGCAGCUCCUGCUGCAUGGUGGGGGUUGGAUAGUUUCGGCGGUAGGGGAUGGACUCGCGGCUUAUCAGCUUGUUGGUGGGGUAGUGGCUUACCAAGGCUUUGACGGGUCGCCGGCCUGAGUGGGUGACCGGCGACAUGGGGACUAAGGGACGGCCCAGACUCCUACGGGAGACAGCGGUGGGGAGUAUGGCACAGUGGGCGGGAGUCUGAGGCAGCAACGCCGCGGGCGGGAUGACCGCCUUCGGGGAGUGAACCGCUUUCGCCUGAGACGAAGCGGGAGUGACGGUAAUGGGAGAAGAAGCACCGGCUAACUACGUG
rnacentral:rRNA from 1 species